GCCUGGGUGGCUCAGUCGGUUUGGCGUCCGACUUCGGCUCAGGUCAUGAUCUCCCGGUGCAUGGGUUCAAGUCCCGUGUCAGGCU
rnacentral:tRNA from 1 species